CCCUGUUGACUUUUUGCAUUUCCAGAUGAAGGAUUUGAGAUGUCCCGAAUGUCAUCACAGUCCCGAUACCAGAGCGAGGAUCCGGCAGAGCGCAGGCGACGGAGGCGAACGGGGCGCCCGAAACGUGAUGGAAGAAGACGCGUCCGCCCGUCAAGGAGGGGUCCCGAAGCGCCGCGGCGUCCCGGAGCUC